GCAUUUUGCCUCCUGCAAGCAUCAUCAACAGUUACUGGAGGAACGUAAUUCCAGAAAGCUUGAAAGCCGUGGUGAUGGUAAUUAUGUAUCAAAUGCCUGGUUCUAUUUCUGUUAUUAUUGUUUUGUCAUUUCUGUUUUCCCAGCGAUCUGACUGAACUCGCAGAGGGACAAAUCCAGUUUUUCUUUUUGACUUUUGUCAAACUAAAUCAGGCCUGAUAGAAAACUCAUUGCUCUCCGGGGAAACAAAGUAGGAGCCACGAAAUGUCAUUUUAACAGAGCGUGGGUUUGGUGACUGUAGGAAAGGAUUUGAGGACGCUCCUUCUGUUCGGCUUCCUAUGUCAUGAGCACAGGCUCCACGCACGCACAGACACCACGGCUCCCGGAUGCUGUGGCUCCCCGAUCGGGGCUCCUGCAGCGCCAGAAGCCCCUCCGGGAUGCUUCGAGGGGCUCCCGGUGGGUGGAGGUACGGACGCCGCUGCGGCCGCCGCCGCCAGUCCUGCUGCUGUUGUUGCUGCUGCAGUCACGUGGGAGCCCCUUUAAGUUUCCAUAGAGAGGCCUCUCUGGUGUCACAUGAUGGACAUGAUAUAAUGAAACAACAUUGUGGAGAGGAAAGCAUUAGGGGAGCCCACGGCUACAAAAACAAGUGAGUGAGAAGAGGUGGGAGGAAGAGAAACUACGCCACCUCCCCUGCAGCCGAGUGCACGCAGCAGCCUGGCGUGACAAGUGGGCGACGCCGGGGGGCAGGGAGCCGGGGUCCUUGGCCCUGGCCGGGGACCCCACCGCCCACCGCGCGGAGGACAACUUUUAGCCGGCAGCCCAGACCAGCGCGGCACCUGUCUCCGGAGUCUCCACCGCUCCUCCCGAUUCAUCCCAGGGAAAUUCUCAAGAAUACGCUCUACAAAUCUACGUGCGCAUCAUUUUCACCUCGCGUCGCGCCCGGGAGGAAGGAACGAGGCAAGGAGCUAAAGCAGCGUGCGUUCAGCCCUGGGGCAUUUUAUUAAUGCUUUUACGAGUUAGAAGAGUUGGGAUAAUUUGCCAUCUGGAGUUUCUCUGCCUUGCUGAUCUGAGCUCAGACCUGCCAAUUUACCAGAGAUAAUUGAUAACACCCUGUAACAGCUGAGAGGAAAAUGGAAGAAACGGAGAUACUUUUAGUGAAGCAGAAUAAACCACUGAACAGGUAACUGAGAUUAGUAGUUCUAUAUACAUUUAUUAAAUAAGUUAAUAUUUGUAAAGGCCUAGAAUAGUACAUAGCACAUAGUAAAUAGUAUGUAGGUGUUUGCUGUUAUAAAGUUCUUUUAAAUAUACGUAAGCCCCAAAUAAACCAAUUAUACAAACCAAAAAUACCCAACAAAAGCAAACUCUCCUCCUAAGGCAAGUGCGAACAUCAUUGGUAAGUUCUGACGUGGCCUCUGUAUAGUCUGUUGUCCUGGCUCUGAGAAACGUAACUUAAAACCUCUUUGAAACGUCUUAAUCUUUGAGCACCCUAAGUCCUUGAGCACCCAUUCAUUUUUGUCUUUGACCUUCUAAGUGUCAGAUUGGUUUCCAGUUUGAAACCAAACAAACUUCUUUGAAAUUCUUGAAGACGUAGUUCCAGGGGAGCAUAGCAUAGCUUCCAGGUGGCUACUGAAAUGGCUGACAGUUACUAAAGAUGGUGAGGAUAGAGUUAAAAGCAGCAGCACUCCCAUUUUCUGAUGAUGGCAGGUGAUAACCUUGGAAUAAGAAGCUCCAAACUAUCAUGCCUGCUUAGGCACUAACUUCCUGUAAUUGUAAUAAAAUUGUUGGCAUUGCUGAGACCUACUGACACCUUCAGCAAACGUUAGUAAGGGGCAUAUUACGUGUCCAGUCCUCUGCUUGGUGAUGGGAUUUGACAUUGAAUGGGUUAUCUUUCUCCUCACUCCACUCCCAUCUCUCUGGAUCUUCACCAAUUCCUGCCCAGAUAGAUGCUGUAUGUCCUGCUAUCCGCCUCGUCCCCAGCCUUGCUGUCUCUCCUGCCAGCUCCCCUUCAGCCCCUCAGCAUCCCUUUAUUCAGGGUGGGAAAAGAUGCCAGAGAUGGGGCUGAGAGUUGCAUCUGGUAGUUAGACUUUUCUCUCAUGGAGUUUAUGUUGCAUCUUCCUCGGCCCUGACUUCUGCUUCAUAAUUUACAUAGUUUAUUUUAAAUAUGAUGAUGUAUGUUUUACCAUGUCUUCCUUCGGGGAUUUUGGGAUAUUACCUUUGACAGUUAUGUUUCUGUUUUGGAGGUCUUGCAGCUGGCAUUAUUAGCUUGAGGGAGAGGUGGGGCACUGGGGGUGCACUGAAUAUCUCCAUGGCUUUCAGACCUUUUUAUUAGAACCCCCAGGAGGAAAUACCUGUUACCUUAGGGCCCAGCACACAUAUUUGUACAUGUGGGUAUGUGGUUUCCUGAAGCUUACUUUAUGCAAGCUGGGAUAGAGUUUUUUAAUUCUAUCACUUUUUCUUUUCCCUUUUUCUCUCUUUUUAUUGUUCAUCAUAACCAGCAAAGUGGAUUUCUUAACCUGCUAGUCAGUCGGUUGUCCUUUGACAAGCUUGCAGUAUUUCAGUGCUAUGGUAGGGACGCAUGGUUUCUUGCCCUUCUCCCUGUAUUCUUCAGUAACUUCUACAGCAUUUUUUUACCCCUAAAAAUGCCUCAAACCUGCCUUAACUUUAUUCUUUAUGGGCCGAGCUCUCUCCUUCCUUUUGUAAUAAGCUUCUGUUUCUAUUUUCUCACCUACUGUUCCCUUCUCAACUUUCUGUCUGAACUUGAACAUUCUUCUCCUCCUGAUCAAUACCUAAGAAUGCUUUUGUUUACCGUUUCGAAUAAGAUCAAUCCUUCUGUGCUGUUAGAUACCUGGUUAUCUCUUGGUUGGUGCCAUGGGUUGUAGAGAGACAUCUGCUGGCCCAAGUGUAGUGUUGCAUUGUUUUUCUGUGCUGAAUCACCUUGUCAUUUUUUAGUACCUUAAACUUUCAUAGUGUGCAAGUGAGCUUGUAUAUUGGAAUGUGUUGAAGUCAUCUACCUAAUCUCUUCAAGCAUUUUUAGCAUUUAGCUCAACAUCUAAUUAAUUGAAAUGUAGUCAUACAUUAUAACCCAGUUUAAGGAGCUGCAAUCUAGUAGGGGAAAAGGAUUUCAUGGUAAAACCUGAGUCCUCACCUUCAUGUAUUUUUUAAUGAGACUGAAAAAUGACAGUUAAAUAAAGGUUCAGAUCCAUUUAAAACUUUUGGAAAUGAUAAUUCACUCUUCCAAGAUAAAUGAGAACUGAAUUUUUUUAUUUGUAUAAAUUUGAAAGGUACAAGUGCAGUUUUGUUACAUGGAUAUAUUGUGUAGUAGUGAAGCCUGAGCUUUUAGUGUAACCAUCACCUGAAUAGUGUACAUUGUACCCAUUAAAUAAUUUCUCAUGCCUUACCCGCCUCCCACUGUCUCACCCUUCCAAGUCUCCAGUGAUUGUUAUUCCACACUGUUAUGUCCACGUGCACACAUAUUUAGCUCCACUUAUCAUUGAGAACAUGUAGUAUUUGACUACUCACUUCUGAAUUUUUUCACUUAAAAUAAUGACCUCUAGUUCCAUCUAUGUUGCAGUAGAAGACAUUAUUUCAUUUUUUAUGUCUGAGUAGUAGUCCAUUGUAUAUAUCACCACAUUUUCUUCAUCCAGUCAUCAGUUGAUGGACACUUAGGUGGAUUCCAUAACUUUGCUCUAGUGAAUAGUGCUGUGAUAAACAUACGAGUGCAGGUAUCUUUUUAUAUAAUGAUUUGAUUUUGGGGUGAUAUAUACCCAGUAGUGGGAUGGCUGUAUCAAAUGGUAGCAGAACUUAAUUUUUAACUGGUGUAGGUUUGCAGCUUGGUUUCUUAUGUGAGAGGUAUGGUUGGUGCUAGCUAUAAAGCUAGUGCUGGAAAAAGACAAAAUCUGAAAUCUAUUGCUUCUUUACUUUGAAACUCUAGUUAGAUUAUCACAGUGAUUCUGUACCAUCCUUGUCUUAGCAAAAUUCUCACUGAUUUCAGAUGCAAGUUUAUAAAGGAAUUGCAAUUAUGUACAUACAUCUAAGAUUUCUCCAUAAAUAUGACAAAUUUUAAAGAUUAUAAUUGCAAAAUUGUUCUUUUAAACAAAACUAAACCAACAUUGACCUAUCUUUGAGGGCUGUUUCUAAAGCUAACAGGCAAUAAACAAGAUAUUGUAUCCCAAUUUCCUGCUUUGAAAAGAUCUCAUUGGAGUAGUUGGUAGUUGUAGAAGUUUCUAAAUGUUUUGUUAUUGAAGCCAAGUUGAAGUUGCUCAUUUGAUUCUUUGACUAUGUCCUGAUUUCAAUUAUGAUUAACGAAGCCUUUCUGUAUCCUUAAAUAUAACAGAUUCACCAAAAAUUUAGUCGAAUAUUAGUAUUGUAGAUUAACAUUUUCCUAUAUUUUACAAUUACUUUUAAUUAUUUACAGUUAUUUUUAAAGCACAUAGCACAAUUCGGAUUACUUUGUUUUGUGGUAUCCAGAGUUUGAAAGGAUUGUGAGAAGAUAAUAAAGCAGACUUGAAGGCUGGUGGAUGCCGCAGUGUAUCUGUCAAAAUUAUUUGAAAAAGUCACUCUCUAGGAUUUCAUUUUGAUUUCUUUUUUAAUUUUCUAAGAUUAUUUUUAAUGAUCCAUAAUGUGUUUUUUUCAUUAGAUAAAUAGAACCCACACAAUAAUAAAAAUUUUCUGAUGUUUUCUUCUUAGCCUUACAUUAGAGGACAUGAAUCCUGCUUUGGACAUCUGUUCCUCAAAUACAUUCAUUCUUCUUUGACUCACCAUUUACUUUGAAGGAUAAUUAAACCAGUCCAGUAUUUUUUUUUUUUUUUUUUGAGAUGGAGUCUCGCACUGUCACCUGGGCUGGAGUGCAAUGGUGCAAUCUUGGCUCACUGCAAUCUUCACUUCCCGGGUUCAAGCAAUUCUCCUGCCUCAGCCUCCCGAGUAGCUGGCAUUACAGGUGCCCGCCACCACACCCAGUUAAUUUUUUGUAUUUUUAGUAGAGACGGGGUUUCACCAUCUUGGCCAGGCUGGUCUCGAACUCCUGACCUCGUGAUCCGCCCACCUCAGCUUCCAAAGUGCUAAGAUUACAGGCGUGAACCACUACACCUGGCCAACCAGUCCAGUAUUCUAUGGUCUUGUGCAUUUAUAGCAUUUGGGUUAGGAAACAAUUAGUGCAUCAUCUCUUCCUAGAAAAGGGUCUAGAAAGGCCCGAGGCGAUGCAGUAGUACUUUCCUGGCAGUCACAUCAUUUCGAAGCAGCUGAAAGCCAGUCCUAGGAAAAUGACCAAGGGGUUAGACUAGUAGGUGAUCUAGAGCCCUCUAUAAAUUGAGGAAAAACAAAAAAGAGAAUAACCAUAGACAGCUAAUUAAAAAUCCUGUCUCGGAAAAACUAAAUAAGCAGCUGCUGUAUAAGAGCCACAAAGACGUACUCUUUCUGCCUUUCCCAAGGUAGCAACGUGCUAUGUAGCUCAACAUCACCAGUGUCCUGAAACUGCUCCAACGUUGAUCUUGCAUUUGCCAUUGAACUGAGUUCAUUCUCUUUCCUUUCGCCUUUUGAAACACUCUACUACUUGUUCUCUUGCCUCUCUGAUUAUUUCUUCCAAGUAAUUUUAUAAGCUACACUAAAACUUGGGUUAGCAAUGGGUAUUUUUCCCCCCAUUUCGUUCUUGGUUGAUCAAGUCAAAGUAUUAUCUCAGCAUAGGCAGAGUCCGGUGCUUGGGAAGUGGUAUUAAAGAGAUUUCAGAUAAAUACUUCAAAGCCACUUCAUUGGAAUCCCCAAUUUAAAAAAAGUUAAGAAAUCAUAAAAUGAGUCUUUAACUAGAUUUUGGUGGUUGUCAUUUGGAAGAAAUUCUAAGAGUGAAUUCCAGCCUGUUUCCUGAUUUCCUGUUGUCCUUAUUUACUCCUAGUACAUGGUACAUGACUGGAAUCCAGUAGAAAAGCCCCAGAAUGUGUAUUUUAGUCCCUACAGCCAACAGCUUUGAGAAUGUACAGAAAAGGAGGCUAAAUCCUUGCCCCUGCUGUGGCUUCAAUUCAUAAGCUUUUGUCUCUUCUCUGUUCCAUUUCAAAAGCUAAAGCUAAGUGUCACAGGACAAGAUUGUAGUGGCUUCAGAGAAUGGUAGGCUUGAGAAAAAGACUAUUGAUGAUUCAAGGGGAUAAAUUAUGGUAGAAAUUUAAACAGUAUUUGGGGACAUAAAAUACUGUUUUUGAGUUGAGUAACCCCAAACAAGAAGAAAAACAUGUAUUUAAAAAAAUAUUUUAUAUUUUUCCCAUUUUUUUCUGGCCAUUUUUCUUUAUUCAUUUUCUGAGAGGGAAAUGGAAGCGAAAAUAGAAACUAUUAUUUCUUUUUUCAAGACAACCAGGUCGAUCAUGAAAAGUGUAAGAGGUCACCAUCAGGUAGCUAAGCACUUCUUUUAAACCUAUGAAUAAAGGAAAAAACACAAGAUGUUAAAUAGUAAGUGUGUAUGGUUGCUAGUUUUGAACUUCAGUGCUUAACAAUGUCAAAGUCAAAGUGUUCCUGUGUUGCUGUGAAAUAAGUACCAAUACAUGCAGAGUAGCUACUAUUGUUGCCACAUGCAAAGAAAAGACAGCACACUCAGUAAAUUCUUUUAGUUGUGUUUCUUAUAGUUAAGGAAUGUUGAUCUAUUUUAUGUUUUUGUGGUGUAACUUAACAUGGCAAAGAAAACAAUCAUGUUAAUAACAUUUUGCGAUUAUUUUCCAUAUGCCAAGCGUUGGCUGAAAAACAUAAGGGUAAGUACUACAGGUACUAUCAUUCCAGUUUUAUAGAAUGUGCAUGCUGUAAGAAAGACAAAAUUAUAUUAGUGUAUGAAUGAACACCAUUACCUACCCCUGUUGGGAAUCAAUGAUGAUAAUCUCAUUAGAAUAUUGUGCUAAUUGGCUGCAAAUAAUAUGUCAGCAAUAUUUACAGCUUUAAAAAGCUUUUGGUUUUAGGUGGUUGAUUAGCAGGGAUGGCAUUACCCGGAAAAUACAACUAGGUUAUAGUAGUAUUAAAAAUAACUCAGGUUUUUCUAAGUUUGAAACAUUAAUAUUUUUUAUGCUAAAAGGUUUUAAGAAAACACUUGCAAUUUACAGCGCCUUGUUUAGUCCUCAGCGAUAGAAUAGUGUAAUUUUAAAAAAACCAAAGUAGGGCCAGGUGUGGUGGCUCAAACUGUAAUCCCACCACUUUGGGAGGCUGAGGCGGGUGGAUCACCUGAGGUCAGGAGUUCAAGAUCAGCCUGGCCAACAUGGUGACACCCUGUCUUUACUAAAAAUACAAAAAUUAGCCAGGUAUACUGGCCUGCGCCUGUAAUCCCAGCUCAGGAGACUGAGGCAGGAGAAUCGCAUGAACCUAGGAGGCAGAGGUUGCAAUGAGCUGAGACUGCACCACUGCACUCCAGCCUGGGCGGCAGAGUGUCUCAAAAAAAAAAAAAAAAAAGUAGUAUUCCCAUUUGAAAUGUGUAUAAUCAACAUGAUACGCCCAUAUCAGUAUUUCAGGUAUGCCAACACCAAUGAUUGGGAAAAAAUAUAUAUAGAAGUGGAAUUGCUGGAUCAUAUGGUAGCAAUUUUUUAUUUCUGGAAGAACCUCCAUGCUGUUUUCUGUAACAGCUGCAUUUUACAUUCUCACCAAUUGUGUAAAAGGGUUCCAAUUUCUCCAUAUCCCACCACUAUUUAUCUUUUGUUUUUGUUUUUCUAAUAGGCAUCCUAAAAGGUGUGAGGUGACAUGUUAAGAUUUUGAUUUGCAUUUCUCUUAAGAUUAGUGAUGUUGAGCACCUUUUCAUAUACCCGAUGGCCAUUUGUAUGCUUUUUAAAAAAUGUCUAUUCUGCCGGGCGUGGUGGCUCACGCCUGUAAUCCCGGAACUUUGGGAGGCAAAGGCGGGUGGAUCACUUGAGGUCAGGAGUUCAAGACCAGCCUGGCCAACGUGGUGAAACAACAUCUCUACUAAAAUACAAAAAUUAGCCAGGCGUGGUGGGGCACGCUUGUAAUCCCAGCUACUUGGGAGGCUGAGGCAGGAGAAUCACUUGAACCCAGGAGGCGGAGGUUGCAGUGAGCAGAUGCACCAUUGCACUCCUGCCUGGGUGACAAGUGCGAAACUUCGUCUCAAACAACAACAACAACAACAAAGUCUAUUCAAGGCUGGGUGCGGUGGCUCAUGCCUGUAAUCCCAACACUUUGGGAGGCCGAGGUGGGUGUAUCACUUGAGGCCAGGAGUUCAAGACUAGCCUGGGCAACAUAGCAAAACCCCAUCUCUACUAAAAAUACAAAAAUUAGCUGGGCAUGGUGGUGCAAACCUGUGAUCCCAGCUACUCGGGAGGCUGGGGCACGAGAACGCUUGAAUCUGGGAGGCGGAGGUUGCAAUAAGCUGAGAUUGCACCACUACACUUCAGCCUGGGUGAGACCUUGUCUCGAAAAAAAAAAAAGUCUAUUCAUUUAAAAAUGUCUUUGCCCAUUUUAAAUCAAGUUCUGUUGUUGUUGUUGUUGUUGUUGUUGUUGUUGUUUGGCUUGUUUGUUUGCUGUUGAGUUGUAGGAGUUCAUUAUAUAUUUUAGAUAUUAACUCCUUACUAGAUAUGUGGUUUGCUAAUAUUUUCUCCCAUUCCGUAGGUUGCCUUUCACUUUAUAUUUUUUUUUCCUUUGCUGUACUGAGCUUUUCAGCUUGAUGUCAUCCCACUUGUGUAUUUUUGCUUUCAUUGCCUGUGCUUCCGUGUCAUAUUCAUGAAAUCAUUGCCUAGACCAGUGUCAGGAAGCUUUCCCCUAUGUUUUCUCCUAGGAGUUUUAUAGAUUCAGGUCUUACAUUUAAAUCAUUAAUCCAGCCAGGCACAGUGGCUCAUGCCUGUAAUCCCAGCACUUUGGCAGGCCAAGGUGGUUGGAUCACUUGAGUUUAGGAGUUUGAGACCAGCCUAGCCAAUAUGGUGAAACUCUAUCUCUACUAAAAAUACAAAAAAAUAAAAUAAAAUAAAAUAGCCGGACACAGUGGCGGCUGCCUGUGAUCCUAGCUACUCAGGAGGCUGAGGCACGAGAAUUGCUUGAAUCUGGGAGGUGGAGCUUGCAGUGAGCCGAGAUCACGCCACUGCACUCUAGACUGGGUGACAGUGAGACUAUAUCUCCCCCCAAAAAAAAAAUCAUUAAUCCAUUUUGAGUUGGUUUUCUGUAUGGUGUAAGAUAAGGUCUUACAAGAAGACCUGUACUAUAAGAAGAAGCAGCUUGUUAUAAAUUACCCCGUCUAAGGUAUUUCUUCACAGCAGUGCAAGAACAGACUAAUACAACCUCAUCUAACAUAGUUGUGGCUCACAGUUCUGGAGGCUGUACAGGAAGCAUAGUGGCUUCUGCUUCUGGGGAGGCCGCAGGAAACUUACAAUUGUGGCAGAAGUCAAAGGGAAAGCAGGCAUGUCUUACAUGGUCGGAGCAGAAGAAAGAGCAGUGGGGACAGAGGAGUGCCACAGGCUGUUAAAUGACCAGACCUCACAAGAACUCAGUCACUGUUACGAGAACGGCACCAAGGGGGAAAUCCACCCCCAUGAUCCAAUCACCUCCCACCAGAUCCAGCCUCCAACAUUGUGGAUUACAUUUCAACAUGAGAUUUGGAUGGAGACACAGAUCCAAACUGUAUCAUUCCACCCCUGGCCCCUCCCAAAUCUCAUGUCCUUCUCACUUUGCAAAACCCAAUCAUGCCUUCCCAACAGUUCCUCAAAGUCUUGACUUUUUUCCAGCAUGACCUCAAAAAUCCAAAGUCUCAUCUGAGACAAGGCAAGUCCCUUCUGCUCAUGAGCCUGGAAAAUAACAAACAAGUUAGUUAUUUUCAAGAUACAAUGGAGGUACAGGCAUUGAGUAAAUACUUCCAUUCCAAAAGGGAGAAAUUGGCCAAAAGAAAGGGGCUACAGGCCCCAUGCAAGUCUGAAACCCAGCAGGGCAGUCAUUAAAUCUUAAAGCUCCAGAAUAAUCUCCUUUGACUCUAAGUCUCACAUUCAGGACACAGUGAUGCAAGGGGUAGGCUCACAAGGCCUUGGGCAGCUCUGCUCCUGUGGCUUUGCAGGAUUCAGCCCCUGUGGCUGCUCUCAAGGGCUGGUGUUGAAUGUGUAUGGCUUUUCCAGGUGCAGGGUGCAAGCUGCCAGUGGAUCUACCAUUCUGGGGUCUGGAGGACAGUGGCCCUCUUCUCACUGCUCCACUAGGCAGUGCUCCAGUGGGGACACUGUGUAGGGGCUCCAAUCUUACAUUUCCCCUCUACACUGCCCUAAUGGAGGCUCUCCAUAAGGGCUCUAUCCCUGCAGCAGACUUCUGCCUGGACAUCCGGGCUUUUCUAUAUAUCCUCUGAAAUCUAGGCGGAGGCUCCUGAGCCUCAUUCACUCUUACACUCUGUGUACCCACAGGCUUAACACUACAUGGAAGCUACCAAGGCUUAUGGCUUACAUCCUCCAGAGCAGUGGCCUGAGCUAUACCUGGGCCCCUUUGAGCCAUGGCUAGAGCUGGAGCUGCUGGGAUGCAGGGAGCAGUUCUCAUGGCUGUGCAGGGCAGCUGGGCCUGAUCCACAAAACCUUUCAGUCUUACUAGGCCUUUGGGCCUGUGAUGAGAAGGGCUGCCAUGAAGUUCUCUGAAAUACUAUCGAGGCCUUUUCCCCAUUGUCUUGGCUAUCAGCACUUGUCUUUCUUUUAGCUUGAAUUGCUCUCCUGAAAAUGGGCUUUUCUUUUCUGCCACAUGGCCAGGAUGCAAAUUUUCUAAACUUUGGAAACUCUGCUUUUCUUUUAUAAAAAAGUUCAAAUUACAGGUCAUUUCUUUGCUUACACAUGUGAGCAGCCAGGCCAUGUCUUGAAUACUUCACUGCUUAGAAAUUUCUUCCAUCAGAUACCCUAAAUCAUCACUUUGAAGUUCAAAGUUCCACAGAUCCAUAGAGCAAGGACACAUUGCAGCCAGGCUGUUUGCUAAAGCAUAGCUUUACUCCAAUUCUCGGUAACUUUCCCGUAUUCACCUGAGACCUCCUCAGCUUGGACUUCAUUGUCCAUAUCACUAUCAGCAUUUUGGUCACAACAAUUCAAGUCUCUAGGAAGUUCCAAACUUUUCCCUCAUCUUCCUGUUUUCUUCUGAGCCCUCCAAACUGUUCCAACCUCUGCCUGUUAUCCAGUUUCAAAGCUGCUUCCACAUUUUCAGGUAUCAUAGCAAUGCCCCUUUUCUUGGUACUAAUUUUCUGUGUUAGUCCAUUCUUGAAUUUCUAUAAAGAAAUACCUGAGACUCGGUAAUUUAUAAAGAAAAGAGGUUUAAUUGGCUCACAGUUCUGCAGGCUGUACAGGAAGCAUAGUGGCUUCUGCUUCUGGGAAGGCCUUAGGAAACUUACAAUCAUGGCAGAAGUCAGAAUGAAAACAGGCACAUCUUACAUGGCCAAGAUAUGGAGUGAGAGUUGGGGAGGGAGGUACCACACACUUUUAAAUGAGCAGAUUUCACCAGAACUCACUCAUUCACUAUCAUGAAAACAGCACCAAGAGGGAAAUGUGCCCCCAUGAUUGAGUCACCUCCCACCAGGCACCACCUCUAACAUUUAGGAUACAGUUUGACAUGAGAUUUGGGGAUACAGAUCCAAACCAUAACAAAAUCCAAUUUGAUUAUGUUGCAUGUGGAUAUUCAGUUUUCUGAGCAUCAUUUGUGGAAGAGAUUAUCCUUCCCUGAUGUAUGUGUAUUCUUGGUACCCUUGCCAAAGAUCAGUUAACUGUUUAUCUGUGGGUUUAUUUCUGGGCUCUAUAUUCUGUUCCACUGGUCUAUAAAUCUGUUUUAAUGCCAUUGCUGUACUGUUAAAGUUACUGUAAAUUCGUAAUAAAUUUAGAAAUCAGGAAGUAUGAUGCCUCCAAAUUUGUUCUUUCUAAAGUUUGUGUUUGACUAUUUGGAGUCCUUUGUUGUUCCAUAUGAAUGUUAGGAUUUUUAAAAAAAUUUUUGUAGAAAAUACCAUUAGGAUUUUAGUAGGGAUUGCAUUGUGUCUGCAGAUUGCUUUGGAUAGUAUGGAUAUUUUACCAGUAGUAGGUCUUUCAAUCCAUGAACAUGGGCUUUCUUCCCCUUUAUUUGUGUUUUCUUCAAUUUCUUUUAUUAAUCUUAUGUAGUUCUCAGUGUAGAAAUAUUUUAUCUCUUUGGUUAAGUUUAUUCCUAAGCAUUUUAUUCUUUUUGAUGCUAUUGCACAUGGGACCCAGCAAUCUCACUUCCGAGUAUAUAUCCAAACACAUGCACACGUAUGUUUAUUGUGGCACUACUCACAAUAGCAAAGACUUGGAACCAAGCCAUAUGUCCAACAAUGAUAGACUGGAUUAAGAAAAUGUGGCACAUAUACAGCAUGGAAUACUAUGCAGCCAUAAAAAAUGAUGAGUUCAUGUCCUUUGUAGGGACAUGGAUGAAGCUGGAAACCAUCAUUUUCAGCAAACUAUCGCAAGGACAGAAAAACCAAACACCGCAUGUUCUCACUCAUAGGUGGGAACUGAACAAUGAGAACACUUGGACACAGGAAGGGGAACAUUGCACCCCGGGGCCUGUUGUGGGGUGGGGGGAGGGAUAGCAUUAAGAGAUAUACCUAAUGUAAAUGACGAGUUAAUGGGUGCAGCACACCAACAUGGCAC
rnacentral:lncRNA from 1 species